rnacentral:rRNA from 1 species
CAAAAACAUAGCCUACUAUUUAACUUAGGUACAACCCUGCCCUCUGACUUUUAACAGCCGCGGUAUCCUAACCGUGCUAAGGUAGCAUAAUCACUUGCCUAUUAAUUAUAGGCUAGAAUGAACGGGAUCACUCACUUAAACUUAUUUUUAUUUAAAUUUAAAUUAAACUUUAAGUCAAAAUACUAAAUUAAAAAGAAAGACAAAAAGACCCUGAAAACUAUUAGAAAUAAUUAGUUGGGGCAACUAAAGACCACUCUAGCGUCUAUUUUUUUUAACUCUUAAAAUCUAAAGUAUCCAGUUACUUCAGGGAUAACAGACUAAUUUUAUUAUUUAGACCCAAUAAAUAAUAAAGAUUGGCACCUCGAUGUUGGCUUAUAUUUCCUUCAUAUAGCAACAUAUAUAGAAGGCAGCUUGUUCAUCUGUUAAAUAUUUACAUGAGCUGAGUUCAGACCGGCGUAAGC